GUGAGGAAUAUUCCACAAUGGGGGAAACCCUGAUGGAGCGAUGCCGCGUGCAGGAAGACGCUUUUCGGAGUGUAAACUGCUUUUAAUAGGGAAGAUUAUGACGGUACCUAUAGAAUAAGGACCGGCUAACUACGUGCCAGCAGCCGCGGUAAUACGUAGGGUCCAAGCGUUAUUCGGAAUUACUGGGCGUAAAGCGUACGUAGGCGGCUUGAUAAGUUGGAUGUGAAAUCCUGUGGCUCAACCAUAUGGACCGUGUCCAAAACUAUCAGGCUAGAGCAUAGUAGAGGCAAGUGGAAUUUGCGGUGUAGGAGUGACAUCCGUAGAUAUCGCAAGGAACACCAAUGGCGAAGGCAGCUUGCUGGGCUAUUGCUGACGCUCAGGUACGAAAGCGUGGGGAGCGAACGGGAUUAGAAACCCUGGUAGUCC
rnacentral:rRNA from 1 species